rnacentral:rRNA from 1 species
AGAGUUUGAUCCUGGCUCAGAAUCAACGCUGGCGGCGCGCUUAACACAUGCAAGUCGCACGAGAAAGCAGUAGCAAUACUGUGAGUAAAGUGGCGUACGGGUGAGUAACACGUGGAUCAUCUACCUUCUAGUGGGGAAUACCCCCGGGNAAACUGGGGACAAUACCGCAUAAGCUCGAAAGAGGAAAGCAGCAAUGCGCUGGAAGAGGAGUCCGCGGCUGAUUAGCUAGUUGGCGGGGUAAUGGCCCACCAAGGCGAAGAUCGGUAGCCGGCCUGAGAGGGCACACGGCCACACUGGCACUGAAACACGGGCCAGACUCCUACGGGAGGCAGCAGUGGGGAAUCUUGCACAAUGGAGGAAACUCUGAUGCAGCGACGCCGCGUGAGCGAUGAAGCCCUUCGGGGUGUAAAGCUCUUUCGACGGGAACGAUAAUGACGGUACCCGAAGAAGAAGCUGCGGCUAACUACGUGCCAGCAGCCGCGGUAAUACGUAGGCAGCAAGCGUUGUUCGGAAUUACUGGGCGUAAAGAGUGUGUAGGCGGUGCUCCAAGUCUGUUGUGAAAUCUCCCGGCUUAACUGGGAGGGUGCGGCGGAAACUGGAAUGCUAGAGGAUGGGAGAGGUAAGCGGAAUUCCUGGUGUAGCGGUGAAAUGCGUAGAUAUCAGGAGGAACACCUGUGGUGUAGACAGCUUACUGGACCAUUUCUGACGCUGAGA